CUGUCAAGAAUAAGAAUGGUGGCUCGCAGGAAAGCAGCUGUGGGGCAAUGAAGGUGAAGGUGGGCUUCGCCCCAGCCGAGGUGGGAUCCUGAGGCCUCUCCAGUCCGCUGAGGGCACACCAACAGUCUGUCUCGCCAACCCCAUCAGGGAGGUGGAACACAAACAUAUGUGUUAGGACCUGAAAGAUGGUGAAAUAUGCCUGGACAAAGCCAGAGGAAACUCAGGUGGAGGUCCAUAGUGGUCCUGACAUGCAAAUUGGUUGUACGACCUGGGUAUAGGGGUGAAAGACUAAUUGAACCAUCUAGUAGCUGG
rnacentral:ncRNA from 1 species